AUUGAACGCUGGCGGCAUGCUUUACACAUGCAAGUCGAACGGCAGCGCGGGCUUCGGCCUGGCGGCGAGUGGCGAACGGGUGAGUAAUGCAUCGGAACGUGCCCAGUAGUGGGGGAUAGCCCGGCGAAAGCCGGAUUAAUACCGCAUACGACCUGAGGGUGAAACCGGGGGACCGAAAGGCCUCGCGCUAUUGGAGCGGCCGAUGUCGGAUUAGCUAGUUGGUGGGGUAAAGGCUUACCAAGGCGACGAUCCGUAGCUGGUCUGAGAGGACGACCAGCCACACUGGGACUGAGACACGGCCCAGACUCCUACGGGAGGCAGCAGUGGGGAAUAUUGGACAAUGGGCGAAAGCCUGAUCCAGCAAUGCCGCGUGAGUGAUGAAGGCCUUAGGGUUGUAAAGCUCUUUUACCCGGGAUGAUAAUGACAGUACCGGGAGAAUAAGCUCCGGCUAACUCCGUG
rnacentral:rRNA from 1 species